AGAUUGUCAAGGAAAAUGGACAGCUGAAGUUUCUGGUGGAAAUCUUGCUUGGGCUCAGAUUCUCCAUGAAUGGCACUUUUGUAAAAUCUGACACCAACACUUGUGAUGUUACGAUGGAUGAUGCAGCCAUCUUGGCUGGUCAAUUUGGAGUUCCUAUGGAGAUGAAAAGCAAGUUCAACAUGGAGUUCCUAAUUUCAUCAUGAAGAAUAUGAUCUUGCAACAUCUUUAGUGUAUCCUGCCAUGCUGAUAUUCUCAUAUCAAAUAAAGAUGAACCGAUAACCUCAAGAGCCAAGGGAAGCCCUCCAGUAUUGUUUACAA